rnacentral:rRNA from 1 species
AUUUGGUUAAGUUAGAAAGGGCGCACGGUGGAUGCCUUGGCACUAGGAGCCGAUGAAGGACGGGACUAACACCGAUAUGCUUCGGGGAGCUGUAAGUAAGCUKUGAUCCGGAGAUUUCCGAAUGGGGAAACCCGCUGCACGUAAUGGUGCAGUAUCCAUACUUGAAUACAUAGAGUAUGGAAGGCAGACCCGGGGAACUGAAACAUCUAAGUACCCGGAGGAAGAGAAAGCAAACGCGAUUCCCUGAGUAGCGGCGAGCGAAACGGGAUUAGCCCAAACCAAGAGGCUUGCCUCUUGGGGUUGUAGGACACUCUAUACGGAGUUACAAAGGAACGAAGUAGACGAAGAAGCUUGGAAAGGCUCGUCACAGAAGGUAA